GCUUGUCUCAAAGAUUAAGCCAUGCAUGUCUUAGUGUAAAUAACUCUUAUGAAACUGCGAAUGGCUCAUUAAAUCAGUUAUAGUUUAUUUGAUGGUACCUACUACUCGGAUAACCGUAGUAAUUCUAGAGCUAAUACGUGCGCACAACCCGACUUCUGGAAGGGUCGUAUUUAUUAGAUAAAAGGCCAGCCGGGCUUUGCCCGACUCGCGGUGAAUCAUGAUAACUUCACGAAUCGCACGGCCUCGUGCCGGCGAUGUUUCAUUCAAAUUUCUGCCCUAUCAACUUUUGAUGGUAGGAUAGAGGCCUACCAUGGUGGUAACGGGUGACGGAGGAUUAGGGUUCGAUUCCGGAGAGGGAGCCUGAGAAACGGCUACCACAUCCAAGGAAGGCAGCAGG
rnacentral:rRNA from 1 species